CACAGCUCUCCUAGCUCUGCUGCUGAGUGAUUGAAUGUGCCGCUUCCCCCCUCAGCCUCUGCUGUGUUGCUGUGUGUGUUGUGUUGCUGUGUGUGUUGUAUUGUAGGAGAGUCAGGGUGUUGUGUUGCUGUGUGUAUUGUAUUGUAGGAGAGUCAGUGUGUUGUGUUGCUGUGUGUAUUGUAGGAGAGUCAGUGUGUUGUGUUGCUGUGUGGUAUUGUAGGAGAGUCAGUGUGUUGUGUUGCUGUGUGUAUUGUAGGAGAGUCAGGGUGUUUGUUGCUGUGUGUGUUGUAGGAGAGUCAGUGUGUUGUGUUGCUGUGUGUAUUGUAUUGUAGGAGAGUCAGUGUGUUGUGUUGCUGUGUGUAUUGUAUUGUAGGAGAGUCAGUGUGUUGUGUUGCUGUGUGUGUUGUAGGAGAGUCAGUGUGUUGUGUUGCUGUGUGUAUUGUAUUGUAGGAGAGUCAGUGUGUUGUGUUGCUGUGUGUGUUGUAGGAGAGUCAGUGUGUUGUGUUGCUGUGUGUAUUGUAUUGUAGGAGAGUCAGUGUGUUGUGUUGCUGUGUGUGUUGUAGGAGAGUCAGUGUGUUGUGUUGCUGUGUGUAUUGUAUUGUAGGAGAGUCAGUGUGUUGUGUUGCUGUGUGUAUUGUAGGAGAGUCAGGGUGUUGUGUUGCUGUGUGUAUUGUAUUGUAGGAGAGUCAGUGUGUUGUGUUGCUGUGUGUAUUGUAGGAGAGAGUGUGUUGUGUUGCUGUGUGGUAUUGUAGGAGAGUCAGUGUGUUGUGUUGCUGUGUGUGUUGUAUUGUAGGAGAGUCAGUGUGUUGUGUUGCUGUGUGUAUUGUAUUGUAGGAGAGUCAGUGUGUUGUGUUGCUGUGUGUAUUGUAGGAGAGUCAGUGUGUUGUGUUGCUGUGUGUAUUCUAGGAGAGUCAGGGUGUUGUGUUGCUGUGUGUGUUGUAGGAGAGUCAGUGUGUUGUGUUGCUGUGUGUAUUGUAUUGUAGGAGAGUCAGUGUGUUGUGUUGCUGUGUGUGUUGUAGGAGAGUCAGUGUGUUGUGUUGCUGUGUGUGUUGUAUUGUAGGAGAGUAAGUGUGCUGUGUUGCUGUGUGUGUUGUAGGAGAGUCAGUGUGUUGUGUUGCUGUGUGUGUUGUAUUGUAGGAGAGUAAGUGUGCUGUGUUGCUGUGUGUGUUGUGUUGCUGUGUGUGUUGUAGGAGAGUCAGUGUGUUGUGUUGCUGUGUGUGUUGUAUUGUAGGAGAGUCAGGGUGUUGUGUUGCUGUGUGUGUUGUAGGAGAGUCAGUGUGUUGUGUUGCUGUGUGUGUUGUAUUGUAGGAGAGUAAGUGUGCUGUGUUGCUGUGUGUGUUGUAGGAGAGUCAGUGUGUUGUGUUGCUGUGUGUGUUGUAUUGUAGGAGAGUAAGUGUGCUGUGUUGCUGUGUGUGUUGUGUUGCUGUGUGUGUUGUAGGAGAGUCAGUGUGUUGUGUUGCUGUGUGUGUUGUAUUGUAGGAGAGUCAGGGUGUUGUGUUGCUGUGUGUGUUGUGUUGCUGUGUGUGUUGUAUUGUAGGAGAGUCAGGGUGUUGUGUUGCUGUGGGUCUGGAUGACGAUGGCUGAGAGACGGUGUUUAUUAAGGGGGCUGCUGCUGUUGCUGCUGCUUCUCUUCUCGUCUUUGUUUCUGACUGUCUGCAGAGCCGAGGGCCGAUCCUCCUCCUCCUCCUCCCCACAUUCUAGAUGAGUGUCUGUCUCUCCCUCCAUCACUCAUCACUCCACCUUGAGAAACACAGGGAGAGAUGGGGAGGGUACAGUGUGCUGACUGUGAAGCGUGCCGAGGGAGCCUCGAUCACAAGAACACAGUGCAGAGUUCAGCAAACAGGAACUCGCUGCAAAAAUCAUCUUAUUCGUCUGAAAGUUAGUGCACUAAAAGAGUCAGUGGAGUUCUGUACAGGGCGGGUCCACUCCCACUGGUGCAUGGUUCAGGGAGCAGGCUGUACUUCCACACCCUGGUGCAUGGUUCAGGGAGCAGGGCUGUACUUCCACACCCUGGUGCAUGGUUCAGGGAACAGGGCUGUACUUCCACACCCUGGUGCAUGGUUCAGAGAGCAGGGCUGUACUUCCACACGCUGGUGCAUGGUUCAGGGAGCAGGCUGUACUUCCACACCCUGGUGCAUGGUUCAGGGAGCAGGUCUGUACUUCCACACGCUGGUGCAUGGUUCAGAGAGCAGGGCUGUACUUCCACACCCUGGUACAUGGUUCAGAGAGCAGGGCUGUACUUCCACACCCUGGUACAUGGUUCAGAGAGCAGGGCUGUACUUCCACACCCUGGUACAUGGUUCAGAGAGCAGGGCUGUACUUCCACACCCUGGUGCAUGGUUCAGGGAGCAGGGCUGUACUUCCACACGCUGGUGCAUGGUUCAGAGAGCAGGUCUGUACUUCCACACGCUGGUGCAUGGUUCAGGGAGCAGGUCUGUACUUCCACACGCUGGUGCAUGGUUCAGAGAGCAGGGCUGUACUUCCACACCCUGGUGCAUGGUUCAGAGAGCAGGGCUGUACUUCCACACGCUGGUGCAUGGUUCAGAGAGCAGGCUGUACUUCCACACCCUGGUGCAUGGUUCAGAGAGCAGGGCUGUACUUCCACACCCUGGUACAUGGUUCAGAGAGCAGGGCUGUACUUCCACACGCUGGUGCAUGGUUCAGAGAGCAGGGCUGUACUUCCACACCCUGGUGCAUGGUUCAGAGAGCAGGCUGUACUUCCACACGCUGGUGCAUGGUUCAGGGAGCAGGGCUGUACUUCCACACGCUGGUGCAUGGUUCAGAGAGCAGGCUGUACUUCCACACGCUGGUGCAUGGUUCAGAGAGCAGGGCUGUACUUCCACACCCGGGUGCAUGGUUCAGAGAGCAGGGCUGUACUUCCACACCCUGGUGCAUGGUUCAGGGAGCAGGGCUGUACUUCCACACGCUGGUGCAUGGUUCAGGGAGCAGGGCUGUACUUCCACACCCUGGUACAUGGUUCAGGGAGCAGGUCUGUACUUCCACACGCUGGUGCAUGGUUCAGGGAGCAGGGCUGUACUUCCACACGCUGGUGCAUGGUUCAGAGAGCAGGGCUGUACUUCCACACCCGGGUGCAUGGUUCAGGGAGCAGGGCUGUACUUCCACACCCGGGUGCAUGGUUCAGGGAGCAGGGCUGUACUUCCACACGCUGGUGCAUGGUUCAGGGAGCAGGGCUGUAGUUUUCAGCGAGGUGAACUUGCAGUCGUACGCACCCCGCUCCUAACUGCUUGUUUUCGGUGUGCUUCUUGCCCAGCGCUCGUGAUCAGGGGGCGGAUGUGUGGACAGUGUGGUUGAUUGUAACUCGGUUUCGAAACUUUCUGUGUAGCUGGUUGACGUUGGUGCAGAUUGAGCUGCAGAGAGAGCAUUGGGACUCUGUAGGCCUGUGGACCGCAGCGAGCCUGUCCACUCAGAACCGGGUCGAGACCACAGCACUCAGCAGCCGGAUCUGAAGCAAGCUGGUGCAUUAACUACUAUGACUGUAGGCUGUAUGUCCUGCAUAAAAACAGGAAUGACAUGCAAUCAUAUCUAAAAGUUGUACAGCACGUAUCACACGAUUGCACUGUGUAUAAACGAGGGCUUGUGUGCUGCAUCUCAUCCACCACAAGACCUUUAUAGAGCACUGUGAGAGUCUGGGCAUCCCGCAGUGAAGCAGCAGCAUGGAGAAAAGAGAGGAAUGUUUGGAUUGGGUGGAUUGUGACAGAGCUGGAAGAGCAGGAGGAACACGCAGGGUUAAAGAGGGCCAUCCCACUCUGCGGGGGCUGGGAGGGGGGGGAGCAGGGCCCUGGUUGGCUGGAGUUUUUUUUCGCUGGUGGUAGAAAACGUGAUCCAGUCUGCUGCAACACUGCAGAGGGGACUGCAAAGAGAGAGAGAGAGAGAGAGAGAGAGAGAGAGAGAGAGAGAGAGAGAGAGAGAGAGAGCACAGUGUAUACAGCAUCAGCACUGCAAGAGCCAGGCACACAGACAGACAGAGAGACACACAGAGAGAGAGAGAAGAGACUGAGACCUGAAAAUAACUGCAGAGCAAAGAUGGUCCGACUGAGAGAGAGACUGAAGAACUGAGAGGAACAUUAACAGCACAGAAAGAGAGGCAUCCAUCAGAACAGUACAGGAGGGAGAAAGGAGUGACCAGGACUGAGAAACACAUCCACACAGAUAUAAAACCAAAGGGAGAAAGAGAGGGGAGAGUCCUCACAGACAGGAAAUCCAUUCCGGGAGGACUGCAGAUUUACUUCUCUUUGUGAUCCGGGGGUCUGAGGCACCUUCCUCAGCUCAGGGGUGCACCUGUGUGAGGUGUGGGGGGGCUCGGACUCCUCUGUCCUCCUUCACGGGGGUCUCUCUGACCUCCACAUGCCCCCUCGACCCACCUCUCGAGCUCACAGCCUGGGAAACUUUGCAGAAAGGGGAAGCUUCACUUCGAGAUUGCCAAUUUCCUGUCACUGCCUCCGAGCUUCAGUGACACAGCUCUGCACGUCUCUCCUCUAUCAGCAGCCACUUCUCUAAACACUGACUGGGGGCUCAUAGAUCACACAGAACGAGGCCACACUGAAGCAAAGAGGAGCUUUAACAACAGAGGACCCGGUCUGAUAUUCCCAGGCUAACACACCUCCACUCCACCAGGGGCAGCACCUUCCCAGGGCUGGGGUCGUAGGAGAGCCGCAGGAGGCCCACGAGACCUCACAGGCCGGGCAGACCUCCACACCAGGAGGGGGCAGCGUUGGGGAUCUCUAUGGCUCAGGGGGACAGCGAGGGGGAGGACGCUACCCAGGACUUUAUAAAGUGUACGAAACCCAGACAAGGGAACACACGCUGAAUACCCUGCCGCUCUGUUCUCUUCUCCAUCGCCCUCUAGUGACCACACUAGAAAUCUACAACACCUCCAAGCACCGCUUUCCUGCAGCACUCAGAGUGGCUCUUCAGACUUCAUUACAGUUCGAAGUACACACUGUUUCAUCACUCCUGAAAAACACUGGGACACCACGAGACUGCCCCGCCCAGGCCCAGAGGGAGAGGCAGACUUCCUUGAAGGGUGAUUCUUAUCAUUCCCGAAUUCACACACUCCCAGAACAGGAAUAUCCAGAGUCCCAUCCCCGCUCAGGGUCUGAACUGCAGUCAGGCAGGGUCUGGCCAGUCAGGGGCUGAGAGGACAGGGGGGAGCUGGGAGGGGGAGCUGGGCUUCUGCAAAACUUAAAAAAAAAUCUUUUAAGUUAAAGAACUGUUCCAGGAAGCAACACUGUAAAAUUCACUCAAGUAAGAUAUAUAUAUAUAUAUAUAUAUAUACCGGUAUAUAAAUGUGUGUGUGUGUGUGUGUGUGUGUGUGUGUGUGUGUGUUUGUAUGCAGUAUUUAGGAGCACACUGAGCUGAAAGGUUACAGUAAGUGUUUAAUUAAGAGUUACAGGUCGUUUGCUACUGAAUCUCCAUCUGUAACCUUGCACUGGAAUUAACAGCUAAAUGACUGACUGAUCUGUUCUAGACUGUAUUCACUCAACUCAGUGAAUAAACCAACAAACCAGCAAGACUUCCUUCAGGUUCCCUGGAGACAAGCCUGCUGCCCUCUGGAGAGACAGGGGUACUGCGCUUUUAUUAUGUGCUUUAAGUACUGCAGGCUUCGAGACAAAGUAAAACGUCUUACUGACUCACUGACUGACUCCAGGGAGCUUUGAAAAGCCUGGAGGCCACGCAUGCACAGACUGCUGCAGGUUUUUUUGUUCUAGAAAGAAUUCUGUAUCCAAACUGUAUUGGUGCAAACAUAAGGACUAUAACUGGAUAUACUGCCCCCCUACUGGGCUAACUGGAAUUACAACGAGCAGGUGUUUGCUGAGCACUUGAGAAGCCCAGACUAAGGAGGCCGUUUCCCUGGGAUCUGAAUUAACCCCUCGGCUUGGUGGAAGUACAGAGCUGUGUGUCAGUACUGGGGGGGACAGCGUGCUGGUCAGGGUAACGAUGGACGCUGCGUCUGAACCGAGCUCCCAGUCGGACGGCUGACCUUCGCUCUGCGGACACACUGACCAGACAAGCGCAUGUCCUGCCUGAGGCUCCAGCCUGUGUCUAUCCCCAUGGA